GAUGAACGCUGGCGGCGUGCCUAAUACAUGCAAGUCGAGCGAACAGACGAGGAGCUUGCUCCUUUGACGUUAGCGGCGGACGGGUGAGUAACACGUAGGUAACCUACCUAUAAGACUGGGAUAACUUCGGGAAACCGGAGCUAAUACCGGAUAAUAUUUCGAACCGCAUGGUUCGAUAGUGAAAGAUGGCUUUGCUAUCACUUAUAGAUGGACCUGCGCCGUAUUAGCUAGUUGGUAAGGUAACGGCUUACCAAGGCAACGAUACGUAGCCGACCUGAGAGGGUGAUCGGCCACACUGGAACUGACACACGGUCCAGACUCCUACGGGAGGCAGCAGUAGGGAAUCUUCCGCAAUGGGCGAAAGCCUGACGGAGCAACGCCGCGUGAGUGAUGAAGGUCUUCGGAUCGUAAAACUCUGUUAUUAGGGAAGAACAAACGUGUAAGUAACUGUGCACGUCUUGACGGUACCUAAUCAGAAAGCCACGGCUAACUACGUG
rnacentral:rRNA from 1 species